GACGAACGCUGGCGGCGUGCUUAACACAUGCAAGUCGAACGGAGAGGCCCUGCUUUUGUGGGGUGCUCGAGUGGCGAACGGGUGAGUAACACGUGAGUAACCUGCCCUUGACUUUGGGAUAACUUCAGGAAACUGGGGCUAAUACCGGAUAGGAGCUCCCGCUGCAUGGUGGGGGUUGGAAAGUUUCGGCGGUUGGGGAUGGACUCGCGGCUUAUCAGCUUGUUGGUGGGGUAGUGGCUUACCAAGGCUUUGACGGGUAGCCGGCCUGAGAGGGUGACCGGCCACAUUGGGACUGAGAUACGGCCCAGACUCCUACGGGAGGCAGCAGUGGGGAAUAUUGCACAAUGGGCGGAAGCCUGAUGCAGCAACGCCGCGUGCGGGAUGACGGCCUUCGGGUUGUAAACCGCUUUCGCCUGUGACGAAGCGUGAGUGACGGUAAUGGGUAAAGAAGCACCGGCUAACUACGUG
rnacentral:rRNA from 1 species